rnacentral:rRNA from 1 species
AUGAACGCUAGCUACAGGCUUAACACAUGCAAGUCGAGGGGCAGCAUGAACUUAGCUUGCUAAGUUUGAUGGCGACCGGCGCACGGGUGAGUAACACGUAUCCAACCUGCCGAUGACUCGGGGAUAGCCUUUCGAAAGAAAGAUUAAUACCCGAUGGCAUAGUUCUUCCGCAUGGUAGAACUAUUAAAGAAUUUCGGUCAUCGAUGGGGAUGCGUUCCAUUAGGUUGUUGGCGGGGUAACGGCCCACCAAGCCUUCGAUGGAUAGGGGUUCUGAGAGGAAGGUCCCCCACAUUGGAACUGAGACACGGUCCAAACUCCUACGGGAGGCAGCAGUGAGGAAUAUUGGUCAAUGGACGAGAGUCUGAACCAGCCAAGUAGCGUGAAGGAUGACUGCCCUAUGGGUUGUAAACUUCUUUUAUACGGGAAUAAAGUGAGGCACGUGUGCCUUUUUGUAUGUACCGUAUGAAUAAGGAUCGGCUAACUCCGUGCCAGCAGCCGCGGUAAUACGGAGGAUCCGAGCGUUAUCCGGAUUUAUUGGGUUUAAAGGGAGCGUAGGCGGACGCUUAAGUCAGUUGUGAAAGUUUGCGGCUCAACCGUAAAAUUGCAGUUGAUACUGGGUGUCUUGAGUACAGUAGAGGCAGGCGGAAUUCGUGGUGUAGCGGUGAAAUGCUUAGAUAUCACGAAGAACUCCGAUUGCGAAGGCAGCCUGCUGGACUGUAACUGACGCUGAUGCUCGAAAGUGUGGGUAUCAAACAGGAUUAGAUACCCUGGUAGUCCACACAGUAAACGAUGAAUACUCGCUGUUUGCGAUAUACAGUAAGCGGCCAAGCGAAAGCGUUAAGUAUUCCACCUGGGGAGUACGCCGGCAACGGUGAAACUCAAAGGAAUUGACGGGGGCCCGCACAAGCGGAGGAACAUGUGGUUUAAUUCGAUGAUACGCGAGGAACCUUACCCGGGCUUGAAUUGCAACUGAAUGAUGUGGAGACAUGUCAGCCGCAAGGCAGUUGUGAAGGUGCUGCAUGGUUGUCGUCAGCUCGUGCCGUGAGGUGUCGGCUUAAGUGCCAUAACGAGCGCAACCCUUAUCGAUAGUUACCAUCAGGUUAUGCUGGGGACUCUGUCGAGACUGCCGUCGUAAGAUGUGAGGAAGGUGGGGAUGACGUCAAAUCAGCACGGCCCUUACGUCCGGGGCUACACACGUGUUACAAUGGGGGGUACAGAAGGCAGCUACACGGCGACGUGAUGCUAAUCCCGAAAGCCUCUCUCAGUUCGGAUUGGAGUCUGCAACCCGACUCCAUGAAGCUGGAUUCGCUAGUAAUCGCGCAUCAGCCACGGCGCGGUGAAUACGUUCCCGGGCCUUGUACACACCGCCCGUCACACCAUGGGAGUGGGUUGCAAAAGAAGUAGGUAGCUUAACCUUCGGGAGGGCGCUUACCACUUUGUGAUUCAUGACUGGGGUG